CGACGAAGCACAGCAGUAGCAAUACUGUGGGUGGCGAGUGGCGGACGGGUGAGGAACACAUCGGAAUUUGCCCAGUCGUGGGGGAUAACGUAGGGAAACUUACGCUAAUACCGCAUACGACCUAACGGUGAAAGCGGGGGAUCGCAAGACCUCGCGCGGAUGGAUAAGCCGAUGUCGGAUUAGCUAGUUGGCGGGGUAAAGGCCCACCAAGGCGACGAUCCGUAGCUGGUCUGAGAGGAUGAUCAGCCACACUGGGACUGAGACACGGCCCAGACUCCUACGGGAGGCAGCAGUGGGGAAUAUUGGACAAUGGGGGCAACCCUGAUCCAGCAAUGCCGCGUGUGUGAAGAAGGCCUUCGGGUUGUAAAGCACUUUUAUCGGGAACGAAACAUUGUCGGUGAAUAUCCGGCAAGACUGACGGUACCCGAGGAAUAAGCACCGGCUAACUUCGUG
rnacentral:rRNA from 1 species